GAUCCUGGCUCAGGAUGAACGCUAGCGGCAGGCUUAAUACAUGCAAGUCAAGGGGGUAGCAAUACAACCGGCGCACGGGUGAGUAACGCGUACACAACAUACCAUAUACUGGGGUAUAGCUUUGGGAAACUGAAGGUAAUCCCCCAUAACAUUGCGAAAGGGCAUCUGAUUGCAAUUAAAGUUUCGGCGGUAUAUGAUUGGUGUGCGUUUGAUUAGCUAGUUGGUAGGGUAACGGCCUACCAAGGCGACGAUCAAUAGCUGGCGUGAGAGCGCGACCAGCCACACUGGAACUGAGACACGGUCCAGACUCCUACGGGAGGCAGCAGUAGGGAAUAUUGGACAAUGGAGGAAACUCUGAUCCAGCCAUGCCGCGUGAUAGAUGAAGGCCCUCUGGGUUGUAAAUAUCUUUUAUCUGGGAAGAAACACUCCUAUUCUUAGGAACUUGACGGUACCAGGGGAAUAAGCACCGGCUAACUCCGUG
rnacentral:rRNA from 1 species